rnacentral:rRNA from 1 species
GCAUGUGCUGUGAGCUCGAUGAGUAGGGCGGGACACGUGGUAUCCUGUCUGAAUAUGGGGGGACCAUCCUCCAAGGCUAAAUACUCCUGACUGACCGAUAGUGAACCAGUACCGUGAGGGAAAGGCGAAAAGAACCCCGGCGAGGGGAGUGAAAAAGAACCUGAAACCGUGUACGUACAAGCAGUGGGAGCACAGGUUUACCUGUGUGACUGCGUACCUUUUGUAUAAUGGGUCAGCGACUUAUAUUCUGUAGCAAGGUUAACCGUAUAGGGGAGCCGUAGGGAAACCGAGUCUUAACCGGGCGUUAAGUUGCAGGGUAUAGACCCGAAACCCGGUGAUCUAGCCAUGGGCAGGUUGAAGGUUGGGUAACACUAACUGGAGGACCGAACCGACUAAUGUUGAAAAAUUAGCGGAUGACCUGUGGCUGGGGGUGAAAGGCCAAUCAAACCGGGAGAUAGCUGGUUCUCCCCGAAAGCUAUUUAGGUAGCGCCUCGUGAAUUCAUCUCCGGGGGUAGAGCACUGUUUCGGCUAGGGGGCCAUCCCGGCUUACCAACCCGAUGCAAACUGCGAAUACCGGAGAAUGUUAUCACGGGAGACACACGGCGGGUGCUAACGUCCGUCGUGAAGAGGGAAACAACCCAGACCGCCAGCUAAGGUCCCAAAGUCAUGGUUAAGUGGGAAACGAUGUGGGAAGGCCCAGACAGCCAGGAUGUUGGCUUAGAAGCAGCCAUCAUUUAAAGAAAGCGUAAUAGCUCACUGGUCGAGUCGGCCUGCGCGGAAGAUGUAACGGGGCUAAACCAU